UACGUAGGGCGCAAGCGUUAUCCGGAAUUAUUGGGCGUAAAGAGCUCGUAGGCGGUUUGUUGCGUCUGCCGUGAAAGUCCGGGGCUCAACUCCGGAUCUGCGGUGGGUACGGGCAGACUAGAGUGAUGUAGGGGAGACUGGAAUUCCUGGUGUAGCGGUGAAAUGCGCAGAUAUCAGGAGGAACACCGAUGGCGAAGGCAGGUCUCUGGGCAUUAACUGACGCUGAGGAGCGAAAGCAUGGGGAGCAAACAGG
rnacentral:rRNA from 1 species